AACGAACGCUGGCGGCAGGCUUAACACAUGCAAGUCGAGCGGGGUGAGGUGCUUCGGUACUGAUCCUAGCGGCGGACGGGUGAGUAAUGCUUAGGAAUCUGCCAUUUAGGGGGGGACAACAUUCCGAAAGGAAUGCUAAUACCGCAUACGUCCUACGGGAGAAAGCAGGGGAUCUUCGGACCUUGCGCUAAAUGAUGAGCCUAAGUCGGAUUAGCUAGUUGGUGGGGUAAAGGCCUACCAAGGCGACGAUCUGUAGCGGGUCUGAGAGGAUGAUCCGCCACACUGGGACUGAGACACGGCCCAGACUCCUACGGGAGGCAGCAGUGGGGAAUAUUGGACAAUGGGCGGAAGCCUGAUCCAGCCAUGCCGCGUGUGUGAAGAAGGCCUUUUGGUUGUAAAGCACUUUAAGCGAGGAGGAGGCUACCUGGAUUAAUACUCUAGGAUAGUGGACGUUACUCGCAGAAUAAGCACCGGCUAACUCUGUGCCAGCCGCCGCGGUAAGAC
rnacentral:rRNA from 1 species